GAUAACCGAGAUCGGAGAAACCCGAAAGGUGGGGAACGGAGGUUCUGAAAAAGGACCAGCUACCCUACCCAGGUUAAUUUCUUUAAAGAUUUUGUCCCUGGCUAUGGUGGCUUUCUCCCCCAUUCAUUUCUUUAGAAUCUAUAUCUAUAGGAAGUCUCGGGCCGGAGUAUUUUAGUUUAAAACCAGCUUCGAGACCUUGGUUCAGGUCUCGCGCAACCUCUUGAUGUGGGUAAUUUUUGAGAGCUUUCUUUACUUCAUCGACGUUUAUUGGCGAAUUACCCAGAGAAUACAAAUGCGUGUAAC
rnacentral:lncRNA from 1 species